rnacentral:rRNA from 1 species
UACGUAGGGUGCGAGCGUUGCCCGGAUUUAUUGGGCGUAAAGGGCGCGUAGGCGGUCACGCACGUCCGUUGUGAAAUCGCUCGGCUCAACUGGGCGGGGUCAGCGGAUACGGCGUGGCUGGAGCAAGCUAGGGGGCAAUGGAAUUCCCGGUGUAGUGGUGGAAUGCGUAGAGCUCGGGAAGAACAUCGGUGGCGAAAGCGCUCUGCUGGACUGCAACUGACACUCAGGGACGAAAGCUAGGGGAGCGAACGGG